GGGACACUUGCUACACUCUUGGGAGCGUCAUCAGGAGCGACUGUGUCGACUGGAUAUGUGUUGAACUGCCAACAGGCGCUGAGUUUCAAGAAAUUCAAGCUCAACCAAAACGCUGCAUGUUGAACCAUGAUGGUUCAUGUCUGGAUGUGGGAGUAACACAUGACUGCAUCACCUGUAAUCCCGACCUGACAUUCACUACUGAAUGUGAAUUCCACGAUCCUGUGGAAGGCAUCAAGUGUAUUCCAAUCGGACAAACAUCUUAUCAUCUGUCUGAAGGCAAGAACCACCGCUGUGAAUGUGGAGUCCAGUCCAAUCACAAAUCUAUAAUGUUCUGCUCAGAGCCAAUAACGGACUGACAAUGAGUUGGCAUGUAACCAAGGGUUACCCAGCAAACCGUACAGCACAAUUACCUCCUCACUGAAUGUAAUAAACUGGUUAAAAGUUAACCAUCUGUACUAGUUGGCUCUAAACCAAAAGAAAAAGUGUGAGUUGGUUAUUCCAUAUAUUAACCAUCCAAAUCCUUAGAUGCCGGAGUUACAGGACAUAAACUAGUAAUUAAAAUGUUCGUUCAUCACGCUGAAGGAUCAGGUUCGAUUCCCCACAUGGGUACAAUGUGUGAAGCCCAUUUCUGGUGUCCCACGCCAUGAUAUUGCUGGAAUAUUGCUAAAAGCGGCGUGACCCCAUACUCAUUCACUCCAACAUUACCGCAACCUCCCCAUUGUUAUACAUACACUAAACUACAUUUAUAACGAACUGAUGGAUAUGAUGACCUGUUCAGGGGUCCCUUAGUCUGUCUCACAGUCCCUGAACCGCAUUAUUUUCACUUGUCUGGCCUUUUCUUCAG